rnacentral:rRNA from 1 species
CCUACGGGAGGCAGCAGUGGGGAAUCUUGGACAAUGGGGGCAACCCUGAUCCAGCCAUGCCGCGUGUGUGAAGAAGGCCUUCGGGUUAUAAAGCACUUUCGGCCGGAACGAAAUCGCGCGCGUUAACACCGCGCGUGGAUGACGGUACCGGAAGAAGAAGCACCGGCUAACUACGUGCCAGCAGCCGCGGUAAUACGUAGGGUGCGAGCGUUAAUCGGAAUUACUGGGCGUAAAGGGUGCGCAGGCGGCGUCGCAAGUCAGGCGUGAAAUCCCCGGGCUUAACCUGGGAAUGGCACUCGAAACUACGAUGCUGGAGUAUGGCAGAGGGAGGUGGAAUUCCACGUGUAGCGGUGAAAUGCGUAGAGAUGUGGAGGAACACCGAUGGCGAAGGCAGCCUCCUGGGCCAAUACUGACGCUCAUGCACGAAAGCGUGGGGAGCAAACAGGAUUAGAUACCCUGGUAGUCCACGCCCUAAACGAUGAUGACUAGUUGUUGGAGGAGUUAAAUCCUUUAGUAACGCAGCUAACGCGAGAAGUCAUCCGCCUGGGGAGUACGGUCGCAAGAUUAAAACUCAAAGGAAUUGACGG